GACGUAGGGGGCCAGCGUUGUUCGGAAUUACUGGGUGUAAAGGGUUCGUAGGCGGUGCGGCAAGUUGGGAGUGAAAUCUCUGGGCUUAACCCAGAGGCUGCUUCCGAAACUGCUGUGCUUGAGUGUGGGAGAGGCGCGUGGAAUUGCAGGUGUAGCGGUGAAAUGCUUAGAGAUCGUCCAGAACACCGAUAGCGAAGGCAGCUUACUAAGGAGUAACUGACGCUGAGGCACGAAAGUGUGGGGAUCAAACAGG
rnacentral:rRNA from 1 species